GGUGUAGUGGUGUAGUGGUUUGAGCAUUGGACUACGACUCUGGAGAUCAGGGUUCGAUUCCCCACUCAGCCA
rnacentral:tRNA from 1 species